AGGUUAUCAGCUUCCUUACCUUGGCGCUGUGGUGUUAUUCCCCAGGCAACAUACAGAGGAAACAGGAAGCUAGCUUCUCUUCCCCAGUUCCCAGUGAUGAGACGCUAACCAGCAGCACGGACAGAGACAACGGCAACUAUCUGCCCCGCUGGCACCGGGAGCCACUUUCUCUUCCGACAAAGUCACGCUACGGAGUGAAGCAGGGAGGGCGGGUCCUGAUAAACCGAUAACCACCGCUUUGGUUCAACUGUAGCCUACAUGUUCCUGGAACUGCUUAACAACAUGGACUGGAGCAAGAGAGUGUGCCAACAUUUCAACUCAUACCUCUGAAACAUGACAUGGAGCCCCAACUAGAGGCCACAAGCAGAAAAGUUUGGGAACCACUGGUUUAAGAUAAAUUUUGAAAUCUUAUAAUAUGUUUUAAUGAUUAUGUUUUAACUAUGACUAUACAAGAAAUGUACUUGAAGUAUUGUAAUGGAGUGAGAGUAUAAAAUAUCAUCAAAUGUAAAUACAUAAGUAAAGUACAAGUAGAUUGUGCUUAAGUACAGUACUUUGAUGAAUGUUCUUUGUUACUUUCCACCACUGAUUAUGUUUUGACAGGAAAACAGGCACAUAUAGCACAUCUUUUAAUCUGCUAAAACCACUUUCUAAUUAGUAACACUGUAAUAGGUUUAUAAGUUGUAUUAUAAUUUUAUUAAUUGUCAAAAGACAUAGAUAAGUGCCUCCUUUGGGUUGCCAGGUUGUGAAAAAUCCAUUUAGCAGAACCAGCAGUGUGACACUCAAGCAGACCACUCUUGUAAAAUUCAUUUAUUAACAGCUUAUUAACAUUCAAAACUGCAGAAUUGAUGGAUUGUUAGAAAGUGAUGAGUAAUGACCCUUUAUUCAUGAUGUAUCAACAUUUUUAACUUAGGUAGCUUAUUAGACAUUUACAUUAUUCCUGAAUAAAAGAUUCGGAAAUGAUAAAGACUUUUUUUUUUUUUACAACCUAACAACCCUAAAGUUGUUCUUAUAAAAGUGAUAUAACUAAUCGUUAGCAUUAGUAUAUUAAUUAUUAACCACUAAUAAACCCCUAUCCCAUAAAGCCUUUUAAUGGCUUAUUUAUUCGAAUUACGUAGUACCACUAAGUGGAAAUAUUUGAUAUGAAUAUCCAGUCAUACACCAC